rnacentral:rRNA from 1 species
GACGAACGCUGGCGGCGUGCUUAACACAUGCAAGUCGAACGGAAAGGCCCUGCUUUUGUGGGGUGCUCGAGUGGCGAACGGGUGAGUAACACGUGAGUAACCUGCCCUUGACUUUGGGAUAACUUCAGGAAACUGGGGCUAAUAUCGGAUAGGAGCUCCUGCUGCAUGGGGGGGGUUGGAAAGUUUCGGCGGUUGGGGAUGGACUCGCGGCUUAUCAGCUGGUUGGUGGGGUAGUGGCUUACCAAGGCUUUGACGGGUAGCCGGCCUGAGAGGGUGACCGGCCACAUUGGGACUGAGAUACGGCCCAGACUCCUACGGGAGGCAGCAGUGGGGAAUAUUGCACAAUGGGCGGACGCCUGAUACAGCAACGCCGCGUGCGGGAUGACGGCCUUCGGGUUGUAAACCGCUUUCGCCUGUGACGAAGCGUGAGUGACGGUAAUGGGUAAAGAAGCACCGGCUAACUACGUG